rnacentral:rRNA from 1 species
ACGGCCAUACCAUGCUGAAUAUACCGGUUUUCGUUAGAUCACCGAAGUCAAGCAUCAUUGGGCGCGCCCAGUACUUGGGUGGGGGACCAUCUGGGAACACCGCGUGCCGUUUU